GCUGCGCAGAGAGGGAGAACUGUGCAGUGCCCCUUCAAGUGAAGCUGGAGAAGGAACAGAAGGAGACCCUUCUGUUCCUCCUCCGGCUUCCAAGACAGGCGCAUCACUAAAAGGGUGCUGCGCAGUUCUCCCUCUCUGCACAGC